AUGAGAGGCAUGAUUCAGAAGAAAAGAGAACAGAAUAACAGAAAAAGCUCACAAGAAAAAUUCUCUGUGCUCUCUUCUUCUUCCCCCUUCAACCUUUCAACCGAAAUUUUUUCUUCUCUCUCUGAAUCUUCCUCUGCACAUUCUUCAUCCUCUUCACAUUGCACACACCAUCAUCGCUGCUUCUUCGCAUCGUACCACAAUAUCGUUUCUGCGAGCUUCAUAAGCUUUUUCAUGCUCCAACAUCUGUAA